ensembl:lncRNA
CUUUUUUUUUUUUUUUUUUUUUUUUUUUUGGGAAAAGGCAAAAUACAGUCUCAUCUGUUUAUCCAUUGGCAUUCAAACACACUCAGAAACUGACCACCAAGUAAAUGUCUCAGUACAUAUGACAAAGUCAGUCAAUGCCAAAUACAGAAUUAAAUGGUAAUUCUGAAGGCACCUCAAGGCAAUAUUUUUAUAAGUUUGCUGAAUGGGUGAUCGUGAUAAAAGAUGCAGCCGGGAUUUAGUGCUUACUCAAUGACAAGAGUUUUGUAAGUUGUAUGUUUAGAAAAUAACUUUCAAUAAGAAUAAGCAAUCAGAUUAAUAUACUAUCUUAUCACUUUGUACUCUGAACAAAAUGGGUGGAUAGGAUCUUUUGCAAUAUUUAUUUCACAUAGUUCUAUUGGAAACAGGGACCACAUGACUACUAACAUUUGCUUGGUAAUUGUCAUCUAUUUAAUGGUUAAGCAAUUGUAAUGAAAGUCUUCAAAAUGUUGAAUUCAUAAAAUUCAGUUCAACUUUAUAGUAAAAAAUGUUGCAUCCCUUUGAGAGCACAGUUUGGUGUCUAAUGACCAUGUCUUUUCAUUCAAAUAGUUCCUGUAAGAUGGCAGAGCUUAUAGAAAGGAAUUAAUGAGUUAAUGUAGAAAAAAACCACAAGUCUUUGAAAGAGAAUUUGUCUCUGGGAAAUGAAAGAUAUUCAACUAAGAUGUAUAAAAAUCAAAAAAAAAUAUCCAAGAACAAAAUUGAUUACAAAAUUUAGCUUUUCAUAUAGCUUUGAGGAGCAAUUAUAAUACAAUUUUAAUAUUUAAAAUAUUACCAAGACAGACCAGUUUACAAUAACAGAACAUGUAAAAUCCUUAGAAAUCAACUAAAAUGUUCAGCACCAAUAUCAGGAGAAAUAGGAAACAUCAGUAAGAGAUACCAAGGGAAAGUUAACUGAGAGGCAUUUGAUUUCUUCAUGCAAAGAGUUAAAUCCAUUAUUAUGAGGUGAUGUUUAUUCUCAAGGUAAGUUUGACUCAUGUGACUGUUAACAAAUAUGUGACGUAAGAAUAAGUUAAUUAAUAAUUUUAAUGUAAUGUAUUGAUAAAUAAAUCUAUAAUUUAACUAAGUUACUCCAAAAUGUUCAUGGAAUAAUGUGCCAAUAAGUAGAAAGAAUUCUGAAAAAUGAAUUAUAACAAGGAAGAUGUAUGCCCUCUCAGGGUUAAAGAAUAUCAUAAAGCUACAGUGAAUAAAACUGUUGUAUUUCACUUGUAGAGUGAACAGAUACGUUAAAGGUACAAAUUAGAAACCACAGACACAGUGUUUUGCAGGACAGAUUGUUAGCUGAUAAAUACAUCCAACAGUUCUUCUGAUGAGUCAAUGCCAUAACCAUACUUAUUGUUAAAUAUUUUGAAUAUCAUCUUUGGGAUUCAUGUUUACUUUUAAUUUAAUUAAUGACUAAAUAGUAAUUAAAGAGGUUAGAAAAUAUGAAUUAUUUUUAAUUUUAUUUUAAAAGGUGGUUAUAUCUUUUGGAUACAUGUUUACCUCCAAUUUAAUUUAUGACUAAAUAACAUUUAAAGAGGUUAAAAAAUAUGAAUUGCUUUUUAAUUUUAUUUUAAACACUGGUUAAAAAUUUGGAGAAAAGAAAUAGAAAUUUCUGAUCCAAAAGUCAGCAUAAAAACAGUAACAUAAUACAUUUUUGAUAGGUUUGAAAGUAUACUUACAUUUUUAAAUGUACAUUUAAACCAUGAAAUCACAUUAAUUCUAGGACAAAUGUGUUAGAAUGUUUUGUCUGUAGCACAAUGCCAGCAUAGAAUAAAAGAAACCUCCUAAUAAACAAUAGUUGUUAUGACUAUAACAUUGGAAGUCAUCCUUAUAUAACUAGAACAAAACAUUUAAAAAGCAUAAAGAAAUUCUGUGUCACCAGUAUCUUAAGAUACUUUUUAAAAUUUUCAUCAGUGAAAAUAAUAUUUACUAAAAAUCUUUGAAGCUAUUUAACAGACUGGAAAAUUUCUGUAAUAAGUAAAGCCAAAGUCUUAAUGUGUUUAGUGUAUCAAGUAUUCCUAGAUAGUAAUCAAAUUUAAAAUACCAAUAGUGAAAAAGAGCAAAGAAAAUUCAAGUACUUUAUAAAUACAAUGAAUAAAUUAGUAUUACUUAAAUAAAUAAAAUAAUUACAAUGACAACAAGGAGAUUAUUUUCAGCUUCAGGAUAAGGUCAUUUGAAAAAAUAUAGUGAUUUUAAUGAUUUUAGAAAAAAGUCAAGUACAUGAUAUUUCUGUUUUUUACAACUGUAUUAGCCAGUAUACUGUACCAUAUAUAUAUGUAUCCAGCAUCAAUAUACAUACAGCAUGUCCACAUAUAAUCACUAGCCAAGUGCUAAAGCAUCAAGUCCAUGAACAGGAAAUAUUAUCUGGGAUUGGUGUAGAAAAGAGGGAACAACUGCUAUGUCCUGAAGAGGGAGGCCCUGUUCUGUCUCUUGGUUGAUGAUUCUACCUCCAAGGAUUUAGUCAGGGCUUUGGAUCUGAUAGCUUUGAGAUACUCAACUCACAUGCUAUAUGAUUUUGUUCCACAAAAUUUCACAAUUGAAUUUACAUCUCAAAAUGUCAUAGUUACAUUAAGUGGGGCUUGUGAAGCAAGUUAAAAAAUGUAAAUAUAAUCAGCAUUAAAAAAAAAUACAGCAUGUUAGAAGGUAGUCUCUGAAAUUGGAUCUGUUAUUAGCCUCAGGACAUUGUCAAGCAAUAUUUAAUAUUCUUUUCACUCUCUCCCUUAAUUCUUAACGGGCUUAAUGUCUUCUUAACUCAAGCAUUUCAAAAUACAUGUUUUAGAUACCUAAUUUCACAAGGCAACAGGCUGAAUCCAAAACUUCUUGUAAAAUAGGUUAGGGAAAAUAUACUAAUUUUUUCUUUCUUUUACAUCCUUCUGCUACGCUACACCUACUAUUGCCUUUGCUUUUAUAUCCUCUUUCUGCUUACACCCUCUCCUUCUUCCUGACCUGCCCCCACCUUAAUCUUACUAUUCUUUCUCAAAAUUCAAUUUUGAUAAUGGAUAUUAUUUACCUAAUUAAAUCCUGACCUGGCAUUCUGCUGUCAAUUUUAACAAUAUUGGAAUGUUUAUAAUGCUUUCAGUUCCAGCAUAAGGAAUAUGUGGUAUUCUAUUAUUUUUAAGGCAUUACAGCUUGUAUCUCUGUAAGAUGCAUUUGGAAAUUGAUAUUAUCUAAAAGUUAAUUCCCUUUUUAUUACUUUUUUAAUGCUGAAUUUGUAGCAAUUUUUGUACUUUAUUCCAAAUAUAUUUUGCCCAGGAGGGGUUAUUUUUCCCUUUUUGAUUUCCCUAUGUAUUUCAUAAUUGUUAUUGAUCUGAGUGCUAUAGAUUUUUACCUUUUCUCAAAGAGUUCAAAACUUAAUUCCUGUGUACUCAAUAAUGGACAUGUCCAUUUAGGAAAAUAAGAACAGAAUUUUACAUGUUGAAAAGAUGAAGUUAACAUUCCAGCAGUGCUCUGCAAUUUUAAAAAAAUGGAAUAAAGUAUAUCUGAAUAUUUGGUUAAAUUCAAGUGUGGGAGUGAUGCAGCCACAUUACAGAUUAUCCUGUGUAACAAAAUAGCUAUUAUUUGGAUAUUUGAAAGUGAUAACUUAUUUCUGACAGAAAAUUUAUUUUAUUUGUAUCUCUAAAGACAAUUUACUGAUGUAGCAAUUCUGAGGACGUCUAUGAGGAAAUACAGUAGUCUGAGUGUAUAAAAUGCAGCAAUUGAGAGGUUUUAGAACUCUUCAGAUUUUCUCUGUUGUCCACCAUCACAACUACCUUAUCUCUGCUCAGAGGAAAUAAAUGAAAUUUUCUCUUCAAGUAAGAAAAUGAAAAAAAAAAAUGAAUUUUGCCCAUAUGAGACACUGCAAUGAUGAUUUUUUAUAGUACUUUAUGUAAGACUAAUUAUCCAAGUUAAUUAAGUUGAAUAAAAUCCUGCCUGGCUAUUUAUUGUUUUUAUAAUUUUACUUGUAUUUUGGGAAAAUCAAGCAAAGAACAAGUCUAUUGUUUUGUUCUGAUUGCCAUGCACAAAGGAAAAAAAAAACCUUCAAUUUGUUUUUUCUUUGUUUUGAUUUCAAUUCAGAGUUAAACCACAGAAAGACAUUGGUAAAAUAUAAAAGCCCAGGGAAACUAAAGAGAGUAUAAAUACUAAAUAUUCCAUUUUCAAUCAAAUUCAAAUUUCAUGGUUUAAAUGAAUUCUAUCCUCCUCACUCCCCUCAGUCAAAAAGAAAAACAAAACAAAACAAAACAAAACCAAUAGAUUCAUCAAAUCACAGAAGAAGAAUUUUAAUUUCAAAUAAUUUUCCAAAAGCAAUUACUGAACAACACACUUUGAAUACCUAGAAACCGAGAAUGUGAUGAUUAAGUAAAAGUCAUUGUAUACUAAAUCUUCUCUUUUCCCUUUUGAAGAUUAUCACAAGGGGAGAUAGGAUAGACCUUCACUUUGACAAAGUAUUGAAUACAUUUCAUAAUAUUAUUAUGGGAUGCUGAAUUACACAGGUUGAUUCUAGAACAUCUAAGUGCCCUUGCAGCUAUUUGAACAAUUGCUCACAUUUUCUAUACCAACAGCUAUCUCAACAUUUUCUAAGUUGUAAUCAUUGUCUUAUAUAGAUAGACAGAUAUAAAAUUAUAUAUUGUUUUGAGAAUAACGUGGAUCUAAGUGGAAAAAAUGAAUAAAAAGGGAUUUUUGAUCUUAACAAAAAACAAACAUAAGAUACUGGUUUAACUAUCCAUACACAGUAUGCACCAAACUCCCAAUAAAAUAGCCUAACUUAACAACAUGACAGAAAAAACAUCUCUCCCACACACACACAAAAGAAAAACAACCACAAAGUUUGAUUCUAGGUUUUAGGGUCUACAGUGUAGAUUCUAGGGUAACUAAUAUGAUUCAUCUUUAAUAAGAAGGAAAAACAGGAGAAGAAUCAUCUAAUAUAUUAUUAAUAACUUAAGUACUUUGGUACAAAAGUCAUAUCCAGAAGGAAAUUUAAGUUUAGUUGGGAGAAGAUUACACCUAAAUAACUGGGCUGUAUCCAGCCACCAUACUUCACAGGCGAGGGGUAAAAUGGGGUCAUUCAGCAAAGUAAGAAAAGUCAUAUACAUAAUAGUUGACAGAAGUAACACAUUUUAGCUAUAGAAAGAGAGUGUUUCAGAGAAUACAACAGAAUACAUGGUUAAAUAUUUCCAGGGCUUCUACGUGGAAAGAAUAUUAGAUAUUUUAUGAAAAAAAAUCACAGAGCUGAAUUGGAACCAGUAAUUGAAAGCUACAAGAAUAUAGAACUUAGUUCAAAAGAACAUAUUUUCAAGUUCCAGUGAGGAGUUUUAUCCACUUAUAAGUGGUAGCAAGUUAUUCAGAGUAAAUUACUAUAAGUUGAAUGACUAUUUAAGAGGCAUUUUUGAGAUUGUUUGAUCAAAAAAGAAUAAUCACUGGUAAACUGGAUAUUUUUAACACAUUCAAAUAUACAACAUACUGUAAAUCAACUAUCGAGUUAAAAGAAGGAACAAUUGUGACUUAAAAUGUUAGAUACAUGUUAGACAUUUUGAUUUAAUUUCUGGAAAAAAAAAAAAGAGCUCCUGUGAUAUGUUAAGAAAACUGGAACAUUUUGACAUGUUUUUCCUAGUAAUUCCCAAAUCUUAUCCUGAGUCAGAAUUACCAGGAAAGCUGGUUUAAAUCUGGGUGCUAAGAAUUAAAAUUGCUAACAAGUUCCUCAGGGAGGCAGGUGGGGAUGUUUCUGGGUUUGUAAUGUUAUUGCUGACUUUCAAGCACGUUAAGAACCAACUGGACAACAGUGCAACCUGAGCUCCAGUUAGUGUGUAGAAUGACUAGCCUUUCCACAGUAUGAUUAACUGAUGCACAAUAAAAACAGAGCUUCUGUACAGAAUUGGUUUUCAUUCAAAACUAGCAAAAUUAUUUUAACCUAUAAGGUAUACAAAAUUACUAACUUUGUAUUAUGUCUUUUCCUGAAAUCCUUUCCAUCAACCUUUUGUCAAUCCCAGAAUAAGGUCCAAAUUUUUACUAUUGCUUAUAGCAUUCUCCCUCACCUCUCUGCUCCUUACCUCUUUGAACUGAGUUACCUAUUUCUCUAUAGGUUGAAUACUUUUAAUUAUUGAAAAUAUUGAAAUAAUUUUCAGAGUUUUUAAAUAUACAUCUUUCCUCCUGCUUAGGACACUUUUACCCCUUCUUUUUACUACACAACACCAACAUAUUCUCAGGUAUCAGCUAAGUUGUUUCUUCACUCACCCCACCCCCAAGAACCAGGUUGAAUGUGUACACAUCCAUGGCUUCCUGCAGUUACAAGUUUUUGCUUGAUAUAUUAUUUCCCUGAAUAUAUAAUUAUAUACACUGUUGAAAUAUCAGCACUAAUAAAUACUUAAGUAAAAGUAUACUAAUAUUGGAAGAUUUUAAGUAUCUAAGCCUG